GAUUGCUCAGUUGGUUAGAGCAUGGUGCUGAUAAGACAUUGGUUGCAGGUUCGAUCCCUGUAUGGGACA